UACGUAGGGGGCUAGCGUUGUCCGGAAUCAUUGGGCGUAAAGCGCGUGUAGGCGGCCACGUUAGUCCGUUCUGAAAGCCCGGGGCUCAACCCCGGGAGGCGGAUGGAUACUGCGUGGCUCGAGUCCGGAAGAGGCGAGUGGAAUUCCUGGUGUAGCGGUGAAAUGCGCAGAUAUCAGGAGGAACACCAAUGGCGAAGGCAGCUCGCUGGGACGUGACUGACGCUGAGACGCGAAAGCAUGGGGAGCGAACAGG
rnacentral:rRNA from 1 species